GAUGAACGCUGGCGGUCUGCUUAACACAUGCAAGUCGAACGGAAUCCCUCGGGAUUUAGUGGCGGACGGGUGAGUAACACGUAAGAACCUGCCUCUAGGACGGGGACAACAGUUGGAAACGACUGCUAAACCCGGCUGAGCCGAAAGGUAAAAGAUUUAUCGCCUAGAGAGGGGCUUGCGUCUGAUUAGCUAGUUGGUAAGGUAAAGGCUUACCAAGGCGACGAUCAGUAGCUGGUCUGAGAGGAUGAUCAGCCACACUGGGACUGAGACACGGCCCAGACUCCUACGGGAGGCAGCAGUGGGGAAUUUUCCGCAAUGGGCGAAAGCCUGACGGAGCAAGACCGCGUGGGGGAGGAAGGUUCUUGGAUUGUCAACCCCUUUUCUCAGGGAAGAACAAAAUGACGGUACCUGAGGAAAAAGCAUCGGCUAACUCCGUGCCAGCCGCCGCAGUAAAAC
rnacentral:rRNA from 1 species